AAUCCCUGAAUAUUUUGAAAGAAUACCUGUUUUUUGUUCCUGCUUUUCCUUCUGAAUGGGUGAGGUUCAGUUUCCCUCAGAUUCUUUUUUUCCUAGUAUCAGCCUUAACAGAUUGAAGCCGUGAAGUUGGACACUGAAACCCAGUUGAGAUAAACCAAAAUGCUUGCACAUGCAAGCAAGGAAUCUGUGGGACCCUUCUCAAACAAUGUCAUUAAUGUCAGGGAACCAUGAAGUACUGCCAGAAGUUGUUUGCAUUGCAUUUUUUAUGCUUAAUGCCAUGAAGUACUGCCAGAACCUUUUCUGGUCGUAUGGUUCAUGUAAAUGAACUAUAGGUUUUCUAGUCUCUUUUAGUUCCCACAUGCAUUCUUGUUAUUUUUUUAAUGGUUAUUUUCCUAGUAAUUUUGUAAUAGUUGCUUGCUUGCGCAUUUUAAUGCUCGUUGAGCUUAAGAAUGUGUCUGAUCUGGAAAUUUUGUUUUCAACAGACAAUAAAGACAAAUGUAAUUGGCACACUAAAUAUGUUAGGUCUUGCAAAACGAGUUGGAGCGAGGAUUUUGCUGACAUCUACUUCAGAGGUGUAUGGCGAUCCUCUUGAACAUCCCCAAAAGGUGGGGAAAUGUUAACCCAAUUGGAGUUAGGAGUUGCUAUGAUGAAGGGAAGCGUGUAGCAGAGACUCUGAUGUUUGAUUAUCACAGGCAACAUGGCAUAGGUAAAAGAUAUCACUGUUCCUUGUGUUUCUGCAAAAAAAAGCUCUGAUGCUUCUGUUAAGUUGUUUGUGAAAUGAUAUUUCUCUGUUGAUAUAUAAACAAAUGUAUUGGUUAUGUGAAGAACGUGACUUUUA